UCCCUUUGGUUUCUUUAUUCCUCCCCAGGUUAUGGGAUCAUUGCUUCGAUUGACAUUUUGGGGGAGAGCAAGCAGGCUUAGAGGAAGGGAGACUACACUGGGUGUUGUGGAGCAGGGAUGCCACCAGUGGCUGUCUCUGACCUAACGUGGCUAUGGCUGGACAUUUCUGUCUCAAGGACAGAGUGGAACACCUAGAAGAUCGAAGAAGCAAGGUACCCACCACGCAGACGUGCCGAAGGUUGCCAAUGACACACCGGACUCUGGAACAUCAUUUUUCCAAGUCGAGAGAAAGCCAAGUGGAUUUCUGAAACUAAUUGCUGUAUGUCAAAAGGUUUUAUAAAACAUACAUUUAUAUAAUAUAUAUGUAUGUGGGUGUG
rnacentral:sRNA from 1 species